UACGAAGGGGGCUAGCGUUGUUCGGAAUCACUGGGCGUAAAGCGCACGUAGGCGGAUCUUUAAGUCAGGGGUGAAAUCCCGAGGCUCAACCUCGGAACUGCCUUUGAUACUGGGGAUCUCGAGUCCGGGAGAGGUGAGUGGAACUGCGAGUGUAGAGGUGAAAUUCGUAGAUAUUCGCAAGAACACCAGUGGCGAAGGCGGCUCACUGGCCCGGAACUGACGCUGAACGGCGAAAGCU
rnacentral:rRNA from 1 species